rnacentral:rRNA from 1 species
UACGAAGGGUGCAAACGUUAUUCAGAAUCACUGGGCGUAAAGGGUGCGUAGACGGCAUGUUAAGUUCGUUGUUAAAGGCUCCGGCCUAACCGGAGUACCGCGAUGAAAACUGGCGUACUAGAGGGUGAGAGAGAGAAGUGGAAUUCCUGGAGUAGCGGUAAAAUGCGUGGAUCUCAGGAGGAACACCAAUGGCGAAGGCAGCUUCUUGGCUCAUUCCUGACGUUGAGGCACGAAAGCGUGGGGAGCAAACAGG